CAAUAUUGCAUGUAUGUCCCCUACGCUGUUUUACACUAUUGUAAUAUUUAUUACUUGGGUUCGUAUUUGUAUUAUUCUUAUCGUGUUCACUGUUGUCUGCUUGACGUUCCUUCAGAUUGUUAAUAAUUGUAUUGCAUCAACCGUAUACUCUUGUUUUCAUUGUUUAAAUUGUUUUAAAUUGUAAUACAAUGAGUGAUUGUGAUUCUUCAACCGAAGUCGAUCAGGUUGCAGAUUUAGAAGAACCAAUUUUACCCUGGCCAAAUUAUCAAAAAUAUUUUAAAGUAUUAAGAGUCAUUGAGGAUAUUUUUUUUACAAGAAGCUGAAAGUGAAGUGCUUAAGUUGUGUCGAUACAAAGUGUUACAAGGUGGAUUCACGUUCAAACUCUAAUAUAAGAAAACAUUUAAGCACACAACAUUCAACUAUAUUAAAGAAAAUUGAUCACAUUGGUAAUGCAGCGAACAAAAACACUUUAAAGAGAUGCAAUGAUGGAUCAUUGAAGCAUAUGCUGGUAGUUCUUUAAAACAAUCAGAUAAAAACAACCAGUGUUAGAAGAUUUUUUGAAAAACAAAAAAUUAACUAGUCAAAUUGCAGCAUUAACAAAAGUAGUUGAUAUUUACAUGACUACAUGACUAUAUACUGAUACAUUGCUAGUGAAUGAUACGGUUGUUAAUGAUUUAGAAGAAAUCGACGCAUUCAACUUGAACAUUCUAAAUGAUGAAGACCAUGAUUUACCAUAUGUAUCACCAAAACACCAUCAAUGUUGUGCACACACAAUAAAUUUAAUAGCAACAAUGGUAAUUGAACAUUUAUUUAAGAAGGACUCUAAAAAAGCUUUGUCUAAUCUUGCAUACAAAAAACAGUCAAGGAGUACUUUUGCCUAGUCUACCGCUUUGUGGAAUAAACAAGGUCGCUCAACUAAGUCAGCUGAUUUAUUUAAACAAAAUCUUGGUGUUUAUUUAAUUAUAUCCAACGAGACACGUUGGAAUUCACUGUAUGAUGCAGUGAUGCUGUUUAAUAAAUAAAUUAAAAAUAAUGAACUUAAGUUUAGAAUAAUAAUGGACAAAUUGGCUUUUGGCAGAUUUAAUAGAAGUGAUAUUUAUUUCAUGUGUCAAUAUCAAACAAUUAUGGGGCAAAUAUCAAUAAGCUUGGAUUUACUCCAGGGUGAUACUAACAUGUACUUUGGUAAUCUCCUACCUACAAUUGAAGAAUUAAUUUAUAAAUAUGAAUUAAUGACAAGUGAUUAGCAGUUUCUAAUUAUUCGAAACCUCUGGUGACUGCCAUACUUAGUGGUAUGAAAACAAGGUUUGCCGAUUAUUUGAUACCAAAUUUUUAAUUACUGCUGCAGUCUGCCACCCACCAUUUAAAAAAAAAGGGAUUAAAAAUGAUAUAAAAAAAUAAUUGGCACCAGAAUAUUUAAAAAGUGUCUGUUAUGACUUACAUACUAGUGAUAAUGACAAUAAUGAUGUAGAAGAUAAUCAAAUGAAAGAUAAUUUAUCUACCUUUUUUACCUGGUCACAAAAUUCUCGAGAGGAAAAAUCAACAGUUGGUGAUGAAAUAGAUAGAUAUUUGGGCACAUCUUCAACAAAGACUAGAAUGUUUGCAUCAUUUACCCACUAUCAAAAAAGUAUUGGUGAAGUACAACACUCCACUACCUAUCAGUGCAUCAGUAGAGAGCAUAGGCGGUCCCAGGAUUUUACUUCAGGUGCAGCCGUGCAGCAUAGAUGGCUAAUUUCUAAAUGUUAGGGGUAUUGGAAAUGUGUACGAAGUUAGAUUUACUGAGUAUCAAUGAACCAUAAUUUACUUUAGACUAUUAUAUAUAAUUUUUGAAACUAGUAAACUAGUAAUUUCCUUUCCUCCGAACUUGGUUUUUUUU